rnacentral:rRNA from 1 species
UACGUAGGGGGCAAGCGUUGUCCGGAUUUAUUGGGCGUAAAGAGCGUGUAGGCGGCUUGGUAGGUCUGCUGUGAAAACUCGAGGCUCAACCUCGAGACGCCGGUGGAAACCGUAAAGCUAGAGUCCGGAAGAGGAGAGUGGAAUUCCUGGUGUAGCGGUGAAAUGCGCAGAUAUCAGGAAGAACACCCGUGGCGAAGGCGGCUCUCUGGGACGGUACUGACGCUGAGACGCGAAAGCGUGGGGAGCAAACAGG